rnacentral:rRNA from 1 species
AGUGAACGCUGGCGGUAGGCCUAACACAUGUAAGUCGAACGGCAGCACAGCAAGAGCUUGCUCUUACGGGUGGCGAGUGGCGGACGGGUGAGGAAUACAUCGGAAUCUACUUUUUCGUGGGGGAUAACGUAGGGAAACUUACGCUAAUACCGCAUACGACCUACGGGUGAAAGCAGGGGAUCUUCGGACCUUGCGCGAUUGAAUGAGCCGAUGUCGGAUUAGCUAGUUGGCGGGGUAAAGGCCCACCAAGGCGACGAUCCGUAGCUGGUCUGAGAGGAUGAUCAGCCACACUGGAACUGAGACACGGUCCAGACUCCUACGGGAGGCAGCAGUGGGGAAUAUUGGACAAUGGGCGCAAGCCUGAUCCAGCCAUACCGCGUGGGUGAAGAAGGCCUUCGGGUUGUAAAGCCCUUUUGUUGGGAAAGAAAAGCAGCAGGUUAAUACCCCGCUGUUCUGACGGUACCCAAAGAAUAAGCACCGGCUAACUUCGUG